UACAGAGGUCUCAAGCGUUGUUCGGAUUCAUUGGGCGUAAAGGGUGCGUAGGCGGCGGCGUAAGUCGGGUGUGAAAUCCCAGGGCUCAACCCUGGAACUGCACUCGAUACUGCGUCGCUGGAGGACUGGAGAGGAGACUGGAAUUCACGGUGUAGCAGUGAAAUGCGUAGAUAUCGUGAGGAACACCAGUGGCGAAGGCGAGUCCCUGGACAACUCCUGACACUGAGGCACGAAAGCUAGGGGAGCAAACAGG
rnacentral:rRNA from 1 species